ensembl:lncRNA
AGUGAAAAAUCGUAAAAUUGCUUUUACUCACAUGAACAAGGCAUCUUCCAGAUCUCAUUUAAUAUUUAUUAUAAAAUUAAAUAGAUACAUUUACGAAACAAAUACUAUUAGAUGUGGAAAAUUAUGUUUAGUUGAUUUAGCUGGUAGUGAAAGAUUAAAACAAACUAAGUCUACCGGGUCGGUGAAACUUGAAGCUACUAUGAUUAAUAAAAGUUUAACCGUCCUUAGUAAAGUCAUCAAUGCUUUAGCAGUAAUGCAAAUAAAAGAAAAAAUAGAUAAAAAACAGAAAAAAAAACUGAAUCAAGAUGCCGAGAAUAGUGAUAGUACUAAUAAAAAAAAAAAAAAAAAAAAAAUGAAGAAAAAUGAAAAGGGAAUAAAUGACACAGACAAUCACGAUGGUAUUCAUAAACAAUUACAGGACGAUCAUGAAAAUCAAGAAGAAGAUGAAGAAGAAGAAGAAGAAGAAGAAGAAAAUGAAGAAGAGGAUGAAGCUGAGGAUGAAGCUGAUGAUGAUAUAAACGGAGACACAGACGAACAAACGACUGACGAUGUGACUGACCAUGACACAGACAAUAUAGACAAACCAACGCAUAAUGUAACAUUACAUACAACAAUAGAAAAACAAAAAAAAAAAAAUAAAAUAAAUAAAAAAAAUACAACUAAUUCUACUCAUCAUGUACAUAUACCUUACCGUGACUCAAAGCUAACUAGAGUCUUAUCCGAUAGCUUAGGAAAUAAUUGUAAAAGUAUACUUAUAUGUACAUUAGCAUCACAAGCAAAAUAUUUAAAUGAAACUGCAUCUACUAUUAAAUUUGCACAAAGAGCUAAGAUGGUAAAAGCAAAACCGAUUGUACGUGAGGAAGUUAUUGAAAAGCUAAAAACCAUUGGUCAAGAAAAUGAAAACGACACAUGUUUAUUUGGUAUUACUACCGAUAAUCAUAUUAUGAAUGAAAAAAAAAUAGAUAUAUUUUUGAAUUUUAACAAAAGUCAUUUAACUAAGGAAAUCUUUUUUUUUUCAUUUAAUUUAUGUAUUUUCAGUUACAUCUGUGGAUUCAAAAAUGCGGGUAAAGUCAAAUAUAUGGACUUUUUUAUUGAGUCAUAUAAAAAUAAAGUUAACAUACUUAAGGAAAAACUUAAUCAAGGUGGUGAUACGAAUGAUAUAAAUGAAUACAUAUUAAAAACUUUCGACGAGUUGAAGGUAUUAACAGAGGACGAAAAAAAAAAGAGUUUGGACAUUAGUCAAGGAAAAAAGGUGGCAAAUGAUUCAGAACAGAUGUUGAAUAAACAAAAAGUGGUUGAAAGUGGUGGCACGAAAGGAACGAAUGACAUAACUGAAAAAGAUGGAGCAACAGGGGAAGAUAACAAAACUAACACGGACACAGAUUUUGUCGAUUUAGACGAUAAAGAAAAAGCGAAAAAAAAGAAAAAAGGGAUAACCUUCAAUCUAACUGACGAGCAUAUUAUAAUUAAAGAAUCAGACGAAAACGAGUUAAACAAAAAUGAAAAUCACGAUACAACAACAAUAUUAAACUCUGAAAAACAACAACAACAACAACAACAACAAACGACUGGUAAUGAUGAAGAUGAUCCACUUAUUAGUGAUAUUCUAGUAAAAAUGAAAAAUGAUAUAUGUAAUAUAAUAAAAUUUAAUUUAAAUAAUAUGCAGAAAUUGAACGUAAAAAAUGAACAAGAUAAUAUAUGUGAAGAAAUGCUACAUAUACUUAAUUCGCUGAAAGAUAAUAAUAGUAUAUUCAUACAACAUGAAAUAAACGAAUUAAAUAAUAAUCAUACUAAUACACUUGACAUACACGACCAGAAUGACAGUAAAAAAAAUUUAGAUUUGAAAAUGAAUAAAACGCAAGAAGGUAGUAGUAAUGUAGCUAAUUUGGCAACUGUGGGUAUUCGUAACACACAUACUGCCACUGCCACUGCCACUGCCACUACCACUACCACAAGUGAUAACAAAAAAGGUACUCUAAAAAAUACAGACCACACAAUUAAUAAACAAAACAAAAAAGAUAAAUCAAUAGCACAUGUAAAAAAUAUACAAGGUCAUAAUGAAAACUUGAAAAAUAAAUCAGAAAUAAACGAAGAGUCUAAUGAAACUCAAAAUAAAAGUCAUGAAGAAAUAAUAAGUUAUGAUUAUUAUGCAAAUAAUAUAUUAAGUAUAAAAAAUAUACAAAAUAUAUAUGAAUAUGUUAAUAAUAAUUAUACUAAAUUUAUUAGUGAUUUUACAACUGAUAAAAGUACUGUUUUUACGAAUUUUGAUGUACAAGAUGAUAUAGAAAAACAAAAUUUAGAAAAUCAAAAUACCAUUUAUAAUUUUAUACAUGCAGCUACAAUGUUUCAACAUAGUGGCACUUUAAAAAAUCUAAAUAGUAAUUAUAUUGUAAAUAAAUUACAAACUGAUAUAUAUAACAAUUUUUCUAUGGGUACUGUUAAUAUGCGUUACAUAAAAAGUAUUCAAAAUUUAGAAAAUUAUAAAAAUUUUGACAGAUUAAAUCCGAGUGAGUUGGCGAAUAGACAAUUAACACAACACGAGUUAGACCAAAGCAAAAAAGAACAAAAUAUCACAAUUGAAAAUACCCAAAAUGUUACUACUACAACUACUAGUAGUAAUAAUAAUGAGAAGGAACCAUUUGGAGCCCCUUCAGAUAAACAUAUACAAAAUGUUGCAGAUAUGCACAAAACAAAUACAUUAAAUAAUAGCGAAUCAGAUAAAGAAAAAAAACAAGAAUCAAUAAAAAAUGAACCUAUUGAAUAUACAAAAAAUGAAUCAGAGUUGAAUUCUAAUGUUAAAAAAAAAAAAAUGUAUAACCAGUACAUACAAGUGGCUAACAAUUAUGAAUAUGUAAUGGAAUUUGAAAAGUUGUUAGAAAACAGAGACUUUCGAAAGUUAUAUGAAUUAAUAACAGGAAGAAAAUGUAAACAAAACGAUGUUGAUUUACUUAAAGGUGAAUGGGAUGAACGCAAUGACACAUUAAACAAACAAACAAACGAAACUACACAAUUCACAGAUACUACACUAAAAGAAUUAGAAUCGAGAAUAAAUGAUGAAAUAAAAAAAAUAAGUGAUAAUAUAAAUGUUGAUCUUAUGAAUAAUAAAUAUGAAAGCGGUUUUAAAAAUGGUUUUUUUAAUGGUGGUACGAUUAUUAAUAAUGAUAGUUAUAAUAAUAAAAAAAAUACUAAUAGCAACAAUCUUCAUAUCAACAAUUACGGUGUAAAAAAAAAGAGUAAAAAUAUGAAUAUUGCUUACAUAGAAAAAAAAAGAAACACUAAUUUAUUUUUUCAAAAAAUUAUAAAUUUAUUUAAAAAUUUGUUUAUGAUCAAAAAUGAUACAUCAAAAGGACCUGUCGAAAUAGACACAUGCGAUCUGAUAGAAAAUGAAUUCUUGCAUAAUCAAAAGCUUUUAAAAAAAAACUUAGAA